GAUGAAGAACGUAGCGAAAUGCGAUAAGUAAUGUGAAUUGCAGAAUUCAGUGAAUCAUCGAAUCUUUGAACGCACAUUGCGCCCUUUGGUAUUCCAAAGGGCAUGCCUGUUCGAGCGUCAUUUGUACCCUCAAGCUUUGCUUGGUGUUGGCGUCUUGUCUCUAGCUUUGCUGGAGACUCGCCUUAAAGUAAUUGGCAGCCGGCCUACUGGUUUCGGAGCGCAGCACAAGUCGCACUCUCUAUCAGCAAAGGUCUAGCAUCCAUUAAGCCUUUUUUUCAACUUUUGACCUCGGAUCAGGUAGGGAUACCCGCUGAACUUAAGCAUAUCAAUAAGCGGAGGA
rnacentral:misc_RNA from 1 species